GAUCAUGGCUCAGAUUGAACGCUGGCGGCAGGCUUAACACAUGCAAGUCGAACGGUAACAUAAAGAAGCUUGCUUCUUUGAUGACGAGUGGCGGACGGGUGAGUAAUGCUUGGGAAUCUAGCUUAUGGAGGGGGAUAACUACGGGAAACUGUAGCUAAUACCGCGUAAUAUCGAAAGAUUAAAGUGGGGGACCUUCGGGCCACAUGCCAUAGGAUGAGCCCAAGUGGGAUUAGGUAGUUGGUGAGGUAAAGG
rnacentral:rRNA from 1 species